rnacentral:rRNA from 1 species
GUUGAAACACCGGUUCUCAUCCGAUCACCGAAGUUAAGCAACGUCGAGCCUGGUCAUUACCUAGAUGAGUGACCGCUUGGGAAAACCAGGUGCUGUAAG